rnacentral:rRNA from 1 species
CACCAGCCCCUCGAGUGGUGGGGAUGAUUAUUUGGCCUAAAGCGUCCGUAGCCGGCCGGGUAAGUUUCCCGUUAAAUCCAGCGUCUCAAGCGUUGGACUGCGGGAAAUACUGCCUGGCUAGAGAGUGGGAGAGGUCAGCGGUAUUCUGGGGGUAGGGGCGAAAUCCUUUGAUCCCCGGAGGACCACCAGUGGCGAAGGCUGCUGACUAGAACACGUCUGACGGUCAGGGACGAAAGCUGGGGUAGCGAACCGGAUUAGAUACCCGGGUAGUCCCAGCCGUAAACGAUGCAUGCUAGGUGUUGGGUUGGCCACGAGCCACCCCAGUGCCGCAGGGAAGCCGUUAAGCAUGCCGCCUGGGAAGUACGAUCGCAAGAUUAGAAACUUAAAGGAAUUGGCGGGGGAGCACCACCAGGCGUGAAGCCUGCGGUUU